GCCUGGGUGGCUCAGUCGGUUAAGCAUCUGACUUCAGCUCAGGUCAUGAUCUCACGGUUCGUGGGUUCAAGCCCCACUUCAGACU
rnacentral:tRNA from 1 species